UUCACUCCUGAAGACAGCGAGACCACGAACCCACCAGGAGGAACGAACAACUCCAGACGCACCGCCUUAAGAGCUGUAACACUCACUGAGAAGAUCUGCAGCUUCACUCCUGAGCCAGCGAGACGACGAACCCACCAGAAGGAAGAAACUCCAGACGCGCCACCUUAAGAGCUGUAACACCCACCGCCGGGGUCCGCGGCUUCAUUCUUGAAGUCUGAGACCAAGAACCCACCAAUUCCGGAUACACAAGCAAUGCUGAUUGCUUCACUUUGAAAGCUUUCCAGCCGGGUGCGGUGGCUCACACCUAUAAUCCCAGUACUUUCGGAGUCCGAGGCGGGCUGAUCACUUCAGUGUGAACAUCCUCAAACCACACAUCCUUGGAAAACCCCAUGGGAUCACUUCUACUCUCAUGAUGGUUGUCUUCUCUAGCAUCUUGUGGUUACAAAGCAUUUCAGCAACUUGGCCCUGUCUCUACCUCUCACCAGAAUCUGAAGAAAUUGCAUAUAUUUUUGUACCAACAGGGUUCCUAUGAAAACCAAAUGGAAAAGUACAAUAGGAUACACCAGUUUCUUCACAGGUCCACAACCUAAUUUGUGUUAUACCUAUUCCCUGAUUAGUUACAGAGGUAUUUAUUCUUUAUUUGUUCAUUCAACAUUCACUGAACAUCCAAUAUGUGUCCAGUACUGGGAAUAUAAGGAUGAAUAACACAUUAUCUAUGUUUUUAAAAAGUUCAGUCUAGGAGAAAUGAACAUACAGACAUACACACAUCUGCAAAUAAUUGCAAUCACACUGAUUUCUUUUGGGCCUGGAAUCUCUUAUUCUUUUCAUAGCUAAACAAAAUAACAUCUCAGAGUGUAAUCUCAAAGAACAUAAAUCUCUACUUUAUGGAAGAGGAAAGUGAAGUCCACAGACAGUAAAGGACAUGACCAACCAGCCAGUUAGUGCAAAGCCAAUAAAGGAACUUGUUGACUCCCAACCGAUGUGUUUCCACCACAUAAUAUUAUUACCCUUUUAUAUGGUUUGGCUGUGUCUACCCAAAUCUCAUCUUGAAUUGUAGAUCCCAUAAUGCCCAUGUUGAGGGAGGGACCUGGUGGGAGGUAAUUGAAUAAUGGGGGAGAGUCUCGUGAUAGUGAAUAAGUCUCACAAGAUCUGAUGUUUUUAUAAAGGAGAGUUCCUCUACACACGUUCUUUUGCCUGCCACCAUGUAAAGAUGUGCCUUUGCUCCUCCUUUGCUUUCCGCCAUGAUUGUGAGGCCUCCCCAGCCAUGUGGAACUCUGAGUCAAUUAAAACUCAUUCCUUUAUAAAUUACCCAGUCUCAGG
rnacentral:lncRNA from 10 species